UUUGCAGAUAACCGAGUUAUCUGCUAGCAGAUAACUAAAUUUUCUGUAGGUUGCGUGAUUGCGCGAUUUAACUGUAAGCUCUUAGCCAAUCAAAUUGCUUUUACCAAUUACAAUGUAUAAUAAUUGAUGUUAUAUGGAGUGUAUAGAGGGCCUUCAGCCACGUUUUCGCCUUUCAAUCCUCGUGCUCAGUCAGUUUUAUAUAGAAUGCUGGAAAAUCAAAAUUUCAAAAACAUUUGUUGCAAAAUUUAAAUACUGCCAUUGAAAAGGUCUUGAAAAUCUAGUCAAAAAUACAGUAUGUAAGGCCGUUCCGGAGAUAUCAAGCUGCAAAGUUGGUUAAAUUUGAACAAUUACUAUAUUUGUAAAGUUAAAUCUGAUCAUGGCAAGCCUUAUAUAUUUUUUA